rnacentral:lncRNA from 1 species
AAGUGCCAUCUGUAAAUUAAUGCUUUUACCAAGGUGGAUAUUACUAUCCUUUAUUCAUCGAAAACGUUUUAUUCUAAGUGUUAAUUUCUCAUUGAGUAUUGACAGAAAGGAGAAAAAUUAAUGUCCCAAACUUUUGAGAUAGAUUUGGCUCUAGUAAGUAUUUAGACAUGUUAUUUGCAUACCUAGGAGAAGAAAUGAGAACAUCAUGAUUUCCAGCUAAAAUUGUUUAUUUUCUUACCUCUGUCAAAGGAUUUCUUGUAAUUUCUAUCUUAUUACAAAUAACUUAAGCCCCUUUAAUGCAGAAUUAACUCACCAGAAAUGUGAGAGUAUAUGUUCUUGCCUUGUUUGUUUAUAAAUAUAUAUCUCACAGAUUUCUGAUAUUUUUUAAAGCUAUAUACAAUGAAGAAAAUAUUGACAAAAUAAGUUUAAACCUUUUAUGUUAAAGUUACUGUGCAGGGUGACAAGUUAGUUGCUUUUUUUUUGUCCCUAUUAUACUGAAAUUAAAUUUAACAUUUAUAAUAUCUAUUUGAGUCUAUUCCUUGAUUACUAAUACAUGGAAUUCAUGCAAAAACUUUUAUGAGUAAAAUACUUUAAUUAGCAUUUUAAUAAUUACAGGUCCCCCUUAAUUCUGUGGAACCUUGAUAUUAAUUGUAUCCUUGUGAUUGAACUUCUGUGUUUUGAAGAAAUGAAAACUACCUGGAAAAUGUUAUUGUUUCUAUCAUAUGCUGUAGGUUAGAUUUUAUUUGAGAAGUUGUGCUGAGAAAGAAGAACUUUUAAGCUACUUUUAUAUAAAAUGUUACUCAAUUUGAUUAACUUGUAAUCUAAAAGUAUUUUUUUAAUCUUUGUUUUAUAAUUUAGCCACUUACCAUGGAUUAUUCUAUUAAGAAAUAUCUUUAGGAAGCGGUAGGAAUUUAAACCACCUCAGAGUUUAUUUCCACAUUUCAUUUUUAGAUUUUGGGAUUGCUUAUAUUCUAGCAUUUCAGGAAUAUAAGUUCUUACGGUACCACUAAAACCUUUUUCUUUUUUGGACUUAAUGCAUAUGAUAGUAAAUUAUAGGAGACUUUUUUAAGUUUACCAAUCAUCAAUUAAAACUGCAAUUUUGGCAUGAAGCAAGCAAGAGUAUUUGUUGCCCUGUAGUAUAAGUCAAGAAAGUUUAAGUACAUCAUUUCUUAAGAGAAUUUGUAAACUUUAAAAUACUUAAUGUAGAUUUUUAUAUUAAUAUGUUUAUAUUUUCAUGAAUAUUUUGUGGCAGUGUGAAAAUGCUAAUGUUUGACAGGGCGCAUUAAAAAUAGACUUGAAAUAUUUAUAUAAAGAGAGG